GACGGGGGGGGGCAAGUGUUCUUCGGAAUGACUGGGCGUAAAGGGCACGUAGGCGGUGAAUCGGGUUGAAAGUGAAAGUCGCCAAAAAGUGGCGGAAUGCUCUCGAAACCAAUUCACUUGAGUGAGACAGAGGAGAGUGGAAUUUCGUGUGUAGCGGUGGAAUGCGUAGAGAUCCGGAAGAACACCGGUGGCGAAGGCGGCCUGCUGGGCAGUUGCUGACACUGAGGCGCGACAGCGUGGGGAGCAAACAGG
rnacentral:rRNA from 1 species